CCUACGGGAGGCAGCAGUAGGGGAUAUUGCACAAUGGGGGAAACCCUGAAGCAGCGACGCCGCGUGGGUGAUGGAGCUUUUCGGCUCGUAAACUCCUAUCGUCAGGGAAGAUAAUGACGGUAUCUAACGAAUAAGCCCCGGCUAACUCCGUGCCAGCAGCCGCGGUAAUACGGAGGGUGCAAGCGUUACUCGGAUUUACUGGGCGUAAAGAGCGCGUAGGCGGGAUAGCAAGGCAGAGGUGAAAUCCUAUGGCUUAACCAAAGGACGGCAUUUGAAACUGUUAUUCUAGAGUAGGGGAGAGGGAGGGGGAAUUCUGGGUGGAGGGGUAAAAUCCGUAGAGAGCAAGAGGAAGACUCAUUGCGAAGGCGACCUGCUAGAACAGAACUGACGCGGAUGCGCGAAAGCGUGGGGAGCAAACAGGAUUAGAUACCCUUGUAGGC
rnacentral:rRNA from 1 species